UACAGAGGGUGCAAACGUUGUUCGGAAUUACUGGGCGUAAAGCGCGUGUAGGCGGCUGCGUGUGUCGGGCGUGAAAUCCCAUGGCUCAACCAUGGAAGUGCACCCGAAACUGCGUAGCUAGAGUCCUGGAGAGGAAGGUGGAAUGCUUGGUGUAGAGGUGAAAUUCGUAGAUAUCAAGCGGAACACCGGUGGCGAAGGCGGCCUUCUGGACAGUGACUGACGCUGAGACGCGAAAGCGUGGGGAGCAAACAGG
rnacentral:rRNA from 1 species